AGCUUCAAGAACUUCACUCAGCUUUGGAAGAAGCAAAAGCAGAUAUUGUUGGCCUUUGGGCGCUAAAAUUUCUAAUAAAAAAAGAAUUGGUUCCAGCAAC